AACGAACGCUGGCGGCGCGCCUAAUACAUGCAAGUCGAGCGAGAAGGUGUAGCAAUACACUUGUAAAGCGGCGAACGGGUGAGGAAUACAUGGGUAAUCUACCAUCGAGUGGGGAAUAACCAACCGAAAGGUUGGCUAAUACCGCGUACGCCUCCGGAUCUUCGGGUUCGGAGGGAAAGCUGCACUGUGAGUGUAGCGCUCUUUGAUGAGCUCAUGUCCUAUCAGCUUGUUGGUAGGGUAACGGCCUACCAAGGCUUUGACGGGUAGCUGGUCUGAGAGGACGAUCAGCCACACUGGCACUGCGACACGGGCCAGACUCCUACGGGAGGCAGCAGUAGGGAAUAUUGGGCAAUGGACGGAAGUCUGACCCAGCCACGCCGCGUGCAGGAGGAAGGCGCUCUGCGUUGUAAACUGCUUUAGCAGGGGAAGAAAAGACUCAUGCGUGAGGAAUUGACGGUACCCUGAGAAUAAGCACCGGCUAACU
rnacentral:rRNA from 1 species